rnacentral:lncRNA from 1 species
AGCUAUUGUUUCCUCCCAUCUUCAGAGCCAGUUUACAUCGACAAAAGAAAAAAUUAAAGAAAAUUGAGAUUUCCUUUAAUAAAUACAUAUUAUCAACUUUUUCUCAUAGUCAGAGAUGCUGAGAUGUUCAUGGGUGCCUGAAAGAUGUUGAGGAACAUUCAGAGCCUCCUCCGUGAGAAUAGAUUGCUAUUACCCUAUAAAAUCAUAUUUCAAAUGACUUUUCUUACAGUUGCCAAAGACUCAACUCAUGAUGAUAGAUGCAUACGCAAGGAUUUUUGACAAAUCCUCAAUGUAAAAGAAUAUGAGCAGAGCAGGAUCUUUACAGGAGACUGGAAAAGGAGGUGAUUCCCUCUCCGACUACUCCCCAAUACGUUUCACGCUGUGGCUGGAGAAUAUCUCUGGAAAAAUACCAACAUUUUCUUGAAGUGAAUUUACCUCUUUUAACCUGUGCACUCUGCAAUGCAGCGACACAGUGCCUGUACGUCUCCUCGGCCCAGAUCUUGGGAAACUUGCCUGUUUUGGUGUGCAUCAGAGAGACAUCUGGAUUCUUCUCCUGGAUCUGGCCUUGCUGACAGGAAAUGUCCUCUGACGAUCACAUGGCCCUGCCGAGGUGGAAGGAACUUUUCUACAAGUGGCUGUCCUGAGCUUGGGGAAUAGAAAGAUGAGGAAGACAUACAUGCGUCUUGUAACGAGCUUACGACCCAACAUACAUGCCGUCUUGUCAAGCAACUUGUAGUUUUCGGACGCACUAAAUAUUGCAAAAGAAAGCAGAAACCAUUUAUUUUUCAACCACUAAGCUAAUGUGUUCAAGCACCAAUUAAUCUUCUGCGGCCAAAAGUUGUAUGUAUCCAUAUAAAUAGAUAUAAAUAAAUGUUUGCAUAUGUAUCUGUAUUUUCA